GUGAGGGAAAUAACGCUCAGAGUUACUCUGCUAUAAAGAGGUUUGAGGUAAAUUCUGAGUGUUAUUUCCCUCACUGCUUAGAAGUUCAGACUCAUUUGUGAAGGUGGAUUUAAUGGUAUAGGCUGAUACAAUUGGUAGCUGUCCUUUUACAUGGCAUCCUUUUCAUUGAUUGGAGAAAGGCGGUGGCAGUUCCCUUGUUGCUAAUAGCCUGCUGAUGUCUAAUCGGGGACUGGGUGACCUUUACAGGAGACACCCUACUUUCUUCCCCCCUACACAGCCAUCCAGCCACACACACACACACACACACACUGCAGUCAAGGACUGUUAAUCCGGUGAGUUAGCACGCGAUCACCAAACCGUAUGCCAUUUCAUCUGUCAUCUCCAAGUGAAAUUGACAGGUAAUGUGGCACAAAUGAUCCCCUCCUAUUCCAUUUAAUGAAACAUUAUACCCCUUAUCAGAACAAAAACAUUAAAGCAUCAUAAAUAGACCAUGAUCUAGUACAGGUCUGGACAAUAAAACAAUCUUGAAAAUGUUAACGAUAAAAUCUUUCAUGAUAACGAUGAUAAAGUUAUGAGAUUUAUAACACUGGAUGAACAGCCAAUCUGUCUAACCAUACUCUGUCGCUACUGUUGUGGCUGUUAAAUAAAUAAAUCAUUUUGAGCGUCACAACUAGCAGUGUCAGGAUUUUGAUUCGGAAUCGAAAAUGUAUUGAUAUGAGCUUUUGAUUUAGAACUUUGAAGUCAAAAGCAGGAUAAGCGAUUCUCCCAGUAUUUCUUUUUUCUCUCCACUCUGCCUACUUGUUCUACGGUUUGUUAUGUCUUUAUAGCAGACUGUUGCUAUGUAUAACAGACCGUUGCUAUGGGCGCAAUUCUGAUGUUGCACUCUGGCGGACCGUUUUUGUGUCACAUUAUUGAUUUCUUAAAUAAGUAGCCGUGUAAUAAGCAGGAUAAUGUACAGCUAGCGGGUCAUUGUUGUGAAAUAAACCCUGACAGGGCGAUGCGGUUAGGCCUUGUCGGGGUCCACGCCAACAUGGCCCUUACUAAUUAACUUUCUGGUUUCUUUAGGGUUCAACGUCCUAAAGAGAAUACUCUUAAAACUGUAAAUUGAGCAUUAUGAAUAAUAAAUAUGUAUAUGGUGACAAUUAUCAUCAUCGAUCAAUAUAAAAAAUAAUAUCAUGAUAACAUUUUUGUCCAUAUCGUCCAGCCCUGGCUCAUACAUUUUCAUCCCUCCACCGACACACACCCACAGACAGAGAAAGUGAGACAUGCAGGAUUCAUAAAACUUGGAGAAUCAAAAACUUUGUGCAAAAAAAGUUAAGAAAUCAAUUUUAAUCUUUUACUAAAUCAGUAUCACAUUAUGAAUAUGGCUCCUGCCUGCAGGACAUCUGAAUUUGUGCGCAGAGUGUGUAAUAGGGUGAUCUGAUCACACUGUAAUUGUACUGAAAUGAAAUCACCUCGUCUCAUUCUACUCGACUGGGGUGUCCUUACACCCGAGAGAAUACUCACAAUAACUUGGUCCUCGAGUAAAACGGCCUAAUGGAAGUGUGAAUGACUUUCACACCUUGAGUCUUUCUGCAUGCAGACAUA